rnacentral:rRNA from 1 species
CUACGGGAGGCAGCAGUGGGGAAUUUUGGACAAUGGGCGCAAGCCUGAUCCAGCCAUACCGCGUGAGUGAAGAAGGCCUUCGGGUUGUAAAGCUCUUUCAGCCGGAAAGAAAUCGUGCAGGUUAAUAACCUGUAUGGAUGACGGUACCGGAAGAAGAAGCACCGGCUAACUACGUGCCAGCAGCCGCGGUAAUACGUAGGGUGCGAGCGUUAAUCGGAAUUACUGGGCGUAAAGCGUGCGCAGGCGGUUUUGUAAGACAGACGUGAAAUCCCCGGGCUUAACCUGGGAACUGCGUUUGUGACUGCAAGGCUAGAGUGUAGCAGAGGGGGGUAGAAUUCCACGUGUAGCAGUGAAAUGCGUAGAUAUGUGGAGGAAUACCGAUGGCGAAGGCAGCCCCCUGGGCUAACACUGACGCUCAUGCACGAAAGCGUGGGGAGCAAACAGGAUUAGAUACCCCGGU